UUGACAGCCCCAAAGUGUGAGUGAGGUAUUAUCACAGGAAGGGGGAAAGAACCAGCUGUCUUAGCAGCUGCCUCAUCAAAGAAGACUGUGACAUGGAAUUAGAAAUGCAUGACAAUUAGGUGAAACCUGUAAGACAGUGAACCUCAGGAGCCUUUCUGUCAUGCAACAACCUAUACACACUGCCAUUCAUGCUCCAGACAUCCUUGUAUCUACCAUCUUGAGUCUGUUAAUACAUAUUGCAAAGCAUGCCACCAAACAGUGGCCAUUUACCAGGAAAACAAACUCUCAAGGAAAAAAGGCUGGUUUUCUGUCUACUGAAGGAAUACCUUGGAACCUACAGGUCUGAAAAGACUUAUCCCAACAGGGACAUGCAGUUGUAAACAUGAAUAACAAACAGGAUCAACAGGUCCAUAAUAGACUGAACAUCAUUGAUGUAAGAACAUGAAAGAUAUACCAAGUCAACCUGGGGAAUAUGAAGGGGAGGAAGAGGGAUCUCUAAGUAUCAGGUCAUCCAGAAGGUCUUUAGCUAGGUGCUCAUCAAUUAUGUUCAUACCCUCAGUAGUAGAAAGAAGAAAUGUCAGAAUGCCAAAAUGAGAAGAAAAUAGUGAUGAAAUAUUUGGCACAUACCAUAUACUGAUAGCUCUGAGUGUUUUUACCAGAGCACUGACUUAUGACCAUGUCAAGAUACUAACGGAUAUGAUCAGCUCUGCUAGUCAGAAGUCAUCUCCAUUAUUAAACGAUCCUCCUUUUGUUUCCACAAAACACUUAGCAACACAACCAAGACUUAUUCACCUCCCAGGGCUGAUCGAAAGGUCUUCUACGGUAUUGCCACCAGUGUCAUCCGAGGGAAGAUAUGGAAUGCUAAUAAGUUUUUUUUCACAUCACCUUAUCUUGUGACAAUUGAAAAAGGGAUUUCAAGGCAAGAGUUGGACAUACUUCUUGAACACUGACUACAUAAGAGGAGACAAAAGAAGAUAUAGUCUCAAACAUCAGGUCUUCUGCAAAGGAUUGUGCAUGGCAUAAUUAUGUGACGCUUUAAGAGGAAGUAUCUCAGCCACAUUUCAGGAGACUGAGCAAACAGAAAUUAGAAUGUGCAAAUUCAUUCUGUAGAAAAUCUGUUCCAGUCCUCAUAAGACAGAAGAUUUCUUGUGAAAGGAGGGCGAAUGCCAAGGAACUGCAGUGAUUCAUCCAACUUGCUUAAAUGUUUGCACUUGAAGUGUGAGGAAGAAGGAGGGCUUGUAAACACCAUAAAUUCUAGGAAGUAAGAAUUCAACUGUCAGCGUUAGAGGUGGGUCCAAUUUUUGGGGGGCCGCAGGUGACUUUGAGUAUCCCAAAGAUUUUCUGCAGGCAGGCUAAGUGAAUUAGUUGGCUUUACAGCUGUAGAUAAGGGGAAUCAUCUGGUCAUCAGAGUCACCGUCUCAGCAGCACAGUUAGCACCCAUGGAGACGAGGAAGGUUUUGGACUUAAUUUUGUUUUACUGUAUAGUACAAAAUGUUUUAAUCCUCAGGUGCAUUGAAGGACCAAGACAGAAUUUGCCCUGUCUUUACAUUCUCUUUUUGUAACCUGCCAUACCCUAAAGACUUCUGGGUACAUUUAUCUGAAUGGAAUAUGAUGUUUUAGAUGGGUAGAGCAGGCAAGAGCAAAAUGAAACAUGGUUACAUACCAAGGCUUUAUGCCUGACUUGAUCUUAAAAAAAACUUGGCUUUCCUGUUGUCCUAUUUGGACUGCAUUUAAUGUACACUGUCUACAGAAAAAAAAGGACUGAACUACAUGUAAAUAUUGUUUCUCUUUCAAAAAAUAUUUCAAAACAUUAAAAAGUCCCUGUUUUGCAGUGUGGGCUGAUUUGCAAAAUUUACUUUUUGUCAGCAGCCUCACUAUGUGAGGCCAAUAAAUUUGCUUAUAUUUGACAAUGGAAAAAAGCUUUUGUAUUUGAUGACAGGAAAGUAUUAUAGUAAAUUAUAACACAUGCUUGUUCUUUUGACUCCAUGUUUCCUGGGAAGGAAAUCUCUUAGUGCUGUAGUGAACUAUAUUACUCUAACUGAUAACUGAUUAGUCAGUAAUCAUAUCAAAAUAAUUAGUUUAUUAGUUGAUGCAGAAAUCCAAGUCCUGUUUAGAGAAGGGAAAUCAAAGACAUGCUUUAGCAAAGAAAAGUAAAAUACAUAAUUAGAAAGGACUGGUUGGCAGCAUGAUUUAAGAAUGGAGCAAGAAGGAAUUUCACUAUUCUGAUUAACUUACAUUACAGGACAUACAGAAAUGUCUUAUCUUAUGGAUAACUGGUGUACCAAAACAGAUGUAAUCAAAUGUAGUUCCUUUCUUUCUAGAGUACGCAUUCUUAUAUCCCAAAAUACCACUUCAGAGUACUUUAAUUAUCUUCCUAGUCAACCUGCCAUGACAGAGGCAAAAGAUCAAAAGUAACAGUGAGAAAAAUUGUCAGUUCUCUGGAGGUUAUGUCUACUUUAUUAAACAUGCAUUCAUUUACUACCUCUACUUUUAGAAUAAAUGAGUUAUUAUGUAAAUAAGGGAAGAAUAUUUAAAUUCAGUUCAUAGGGCUGCCAUACAGCCUUAGUGUAAAAAUCAAGUUUACUGACAUAGAAAAAAAUAUUUUUAAUUUGUUGCUCUAUAAUAUUUAACACUUUCCAUAUACACAUGUUUAUAAAUUUGGAAAAGUACAUUUCAUCCCCUAAUUCACACAUUCUUUCAUUUUCAGUGUCAGAUGUUUACCACUACAACUUUAAUGAUGUGACAUGAAUUGAUGUAUCAUUACUGUUGGGAAGUGAAACUCAAAAAAAAAAAAAGAAAUGAUUUUAAACAAGAGAAUACUUGACUGUGUGAAUAUACAUAUUUAGUAUAUUAACAUGAGUUACUUUCAUACUGUUUCAUGUUCACUUAGUCAGAAACUCUUAACUGAAUUUGAAUCUUUCCCAGGCAAUGGUCUUCUUUUGGAUCUAUAUGACUGUUGUAUCGGCUAACUGCAUAAUUUUCUUAAAUAUAUAUUUUCUGUGAUGCAAUAUUAUUGGUCUUACCAGGAAUAUAAGUUUGUUCUUCUUUUGGUCCAUAUUCUUUAAUCAGUCCAAGUCAGUAGUUUAUAUAUGUUAUGACACAGAUCUCAGGGCACUGUAAUAUAAAAACUUUCUAAACUCAAGAGCUGGCUUCAAAACAAGGAAUGCAAAUAUAGCUAACACUUGGAAAACUCAGUUCUACCAUAAAUCAGAUGCAAAAGCUGAAGACCCCAAACUUUGCUUGGGUAUAUGGAAAGUCUCUUGUACCUCUGAAUCAGGUUGAGCUAUUAAAAUCCCAUCACUCUCUAUUAACCUUAUAGAAGAUUAUGAUGAUACAAAUAAAUAACAUUUGCUAUUCAGAAAGAUAUAGAAAGAUAUACUGUCAUGCAAUAUUACCCUCUUUGGAGCUUUGCUCAUUCAUCUGUGACAAAAAAAAAAAAAAAAAAAAAAAAAAAAAAGGGUAUUCACCUAA